rnacentral:rRNA from 1 species
UGAGGAAUCUUGCGCAAUGGGGGCAACCCUGACGCAGCAACGCCGCGUGAGUGAAGAAGGCCUUCGGGUCGUAAAGCUCUGUCGGGUGGGAAGAAACGCAUGGAGGAUAAUACCCUUCAUGAUUGACGGUACCGCCAAAGGAAGCACCGGCUAACUCCGUGCCAGCAGCCGCGGUAAUACGGGGGGUGCAAGCGUUGUUCGGAAUUAUUGGGCGUAAAGAGCGUGUAGGCGGCGUGAUAAGUCAGAUGUGAAAGCCCUGGGCUCAACUCAGGAAGUGCAUUUGAAACUGUUAUGCUUGAGUACGGGAGAGGGAAGAGGAAUUCCUGGUGUAGAGGUGAAAUUCGUAGAUAUCAGGAGGAACACCGGUGGCGAAGGCGACUUCCUGGCCCGAUACUGACGCUGAGACGCGAGAGCGUGGGGAGCAAACAGG